rnacentral:rRNA from 1 species
ACGUACGCUGGCGGCACGCCUAACACAUGCAAGUCGAACGAAGUAGCAAUACUUAGUGGCAGACGGGUGAGUAACAUGUAGGUAUCUGCCCUUUGGCCUGGAAUAACACGAGGAAACUUGUGCUAAUACCGGAUAAGUCUUUACGGAGAAAGCUUUAUGCACCAUUGGAUGAGCCUGCACUUGAUUAGUUUGUUGGUGGGGUAAUGGCCUACCAAGACUGUGAUCAAUAGCUGAUUUGAGAGGAUGAUCAGCCACAUUGGGACUGAGACACGGCCCAAACUCCUACGGGAGGCAGCAGUGGGGAAUCUUGCACAAUGGAGGAAACUCUGAUGCAGCGAUGCCGCGUGAGUGAAGAAGGCCUUUGGGUUGUAAAGCUCUUUCGUCGGGGAAGAAAAUGACUGUACCCGAAUAAGAAGGUCCGGCUAACUUCGUGCCAGCAGCCGCGGUAAUACGAAGGGACCUAGCGUAGUUCGGAAUUACUGGGCUUAAAGAGUUCGUAGGUGGUUGAAAAAGUUAGUGGUGAAAUCCCAGAGCUUAACUCUGGAACUGCCAUUAAAACUUUUCAGCUAGAGUAUGAUAGAGGAAAGCAGAAUUUCUAGUGUAGAGGUGAAAUUCGUAGAUAUUAGAAAGAAUACCAAAUGCGAAGGCAGCUUUCUGGAUCAUUACUGACACUGAGGAACGAAAGCAUGGGUAGCGAAGAGGAUUAGAUACCCUCGUAGUCCAUGCCGUAAACGAUGUGUGUUAGACGUUGGAAAUUUAUUUUCAGUGUCGCAGGGAAACCGAUAAACACACCGCCUGGGGAGUACGACCGCAAGGUUAAAACUCAAAUGAAUUGACGGGGACCCGCACAAGUAGUGGAGCAUGUGGUUUAAUUCGAAGAUACGCGCAGAACCUUACCAACACUUGACAUGUUCGUCGCGACUCUAAGAGAUUAGAGUUUUCGGUUCGGCCGGACGAAACACAGGUGCUGCAUGGCUGUCGUCAGCUCGUGUCGUGAGAUGUUGGGUUAAGUCCCGCAACGAGCGCAACCCUCACUUUUAGUUGCCAUCAUUAAGUUGGGCACUCUGAAAGAACUGCCAGUGAUAAGCUGGAGGAAGGUGGGGAUGACGUCAAGUCCUCAUGGCCCUUACGUGUUGGGCUACACACGUGCUACAAUGGUAUCUACAACAGGAAGCAAAACUGCGAAGUUAAGCAAAUCCCUAAAAGAUACCUCAGUUCGGAUUGCACUCUGCAACUCGAGUGCAUGAAGCUGGAAUUACUAGUAAUCGUGGAUCAGCGUGCCACGGUGAAUGCGUUCCCGGGUCUUGUACUCACCGC